AUACGGAGGGUGCAAGCGUUACUCGGAAUUACUGGGCGUAAAGCGUACGUAGGCGGUUGGUUAAGUUAGAUGUGAAAGCCCCGGGCUUAACCUGGGAACUGCAUUUAAAACUGGCGAACUAGAGUUGAGUAGAGGGGAGUGGAAUUUCAGGUGUAGCGGUGAAAUGCGUAGAGAUCUGAAGGAACUCCAGUGGCGAAGGCGACUCCCUGGACUCGAACUGACGCUGAGGUACGAAAGCGUGGGUAGCAAACGGGAUUAGAAACCCCAGUAGUCC
rnacentral:rRNA from 1 species